UUUUCAUCAUCGAUUAGUUUAAAACCUUCAUUUAUUGGCAUUUCGUAAACAUCAGACCACAGAGAAUAGAGAAAUACACCAAAUUUCAGCUGUAAUACCAGGAAAAAUUUAACUAUGACCAGCCACAAUAUUAUACUUAUUAAAAGGAUCUUCUGAUGAGUUGCCACCCCUUGCAAUCCUUAUAAAACGGGUAAAUUUCCUUUUUAAAAGCUAAAAGUUGGUUAAAUUUCUGAAAGAUUCAAGUUUCCAUGUCAAUCAGCUGAUUAAUUAUUGCGAACAGAUUUCCAGACUCACUAUAAAUAUACUUUUCUUUCACUUCAACUUUUAAAUCCUUGAAGGUGCUCUAAUGCAAUUUAAAAUAAUCAUAGUUUAGUAUUUUACUUAAAUUUUAGUGUAGAUUCACAUUGAUAAUGUUACUCAAAUUAUAAUUUGUCAAAAAUCAGUCUUUAUUUGUUGGAAAUUGUUGAUAGAAGUCGCAUUCCUACGUGAUGCAUCGUUCUUCUGAGUGUUAUGUUUUUCAUAAAAUACAUGACUAAUAUACAAUGAGCGCUAUUGAAAUCAGACGAAUUUGGGUUGGUAGUUGAAAAAUUGUUAAAGAGGUGCUUUAAGCCUUCAUUUCGUUAUCAUUCCUCACACCGUUUCAUGAAACAUUACAAAUUCAUUUACGAUUCAAAUUUAAAAUCCUUGUUGAGCCAAUGAAUUCUAGAUGUAAAUGUUUCCAUUUCAUAGUUUAAUUUCGUGGUUUUUAAUGAUAAUUUCAGACAUUACACAUUAAAAAAAGGAUUCAAGAGAAUCCAACAGAUGAGUAUGAAUAAAAAAACAACGCAACCUUACUUUUUGUUAAGUGUUCUUCCUUGUGAAUAAACUAGUUAAUAAUUUCCCAAAGAUUAAUGUGCCUAACAAUGUCAAGUGAUAUUAUCUAGUCUAAGAGUUGAAGAUUGCAUUGUAAAAUUUCCAGAAGCUUGUCAUUAGUAGAAUAUGUUAUCGUUGUAACUGGUUAGUACCUGGAUUUUCAACGAAUUUCACUGAUGUGUUCCAAAAAAUAUUGAAUUACCACUAUUGUCAAGUUGAAUGUAAGUAUUUAAUAAAAUUGUUUCUCUUGGAUUAUAUUAUAUGUAAGUUGUUAUUUAUUCCUUCUUGAAUCAUAAUAUUUAUGAGAUGAAUACAUUAUAUAAAGCAUUAGAAAUACAAACUAGAUAGUCUUGGAAUUUCGCAUAAAGAUACUUAAUUCACUGAGAUUGGUUGGUAGUUGUUUUAUUAAUCAAUUCCAAUUUUAAUGAAUAAAACUAAUUUAUUUAGUUUAUCUAAUUUGUGGUUUCUCAAGAUCAAUUACUCUUUAAUCCCAUAAUCUAUGGGAAAUCUAAAGAACCGUUCCUAUAGGAAAUCUUACUGUCUGAAAAGGCUCCUUUGCAAAAUUGAGCAUACAGUAACUAUUCAAAAGUUAUUGAGGUAACAUUGUUAAGAAGCACACUAUUGGAUCAGUUACAAUUAUUUUUUGAAGCUUCAUAACUCCUCAAUCUGGAGGUUUUUGGACAGUUGAAAGUCAAUUUAUUUCAGUAAAUUUGAUUUUCUACAAAAUUGCUCCUUAUAUAAAUUCGUCUACAAUCAACAGUUGAAAAGCUACGGUAUAGUGGAAAAACUGCUGAGAAAUUCAUUGUUGACUUGGCUUCCAAUACUUUUGUCUUUAUAACUCCUUAUUUCUCAAUUUAUAAGCAUUAAAAAUACAUAAAACUAUAUUAAAUUUUGUUGUCUUCAAUAGAUGUCAUAAGCAAUAUUGCGAUAUGCUGGACCGUUCAGAAGUUAUGGGGGAAAUACUGGAGCAUUCACCCAACAAUCUCUGAAGCUGUCUGCCAUGAAACAUGAAAUAGGACAGAUUAUUGGUGGAAACAUGUCAGAGUUACCGCCGUGAAGUUGGCCCCAGCAUAUCAAGCCCAUUUUUUUUUUUUUUUUUUGGUGGUGCUUUUCUAGUGAAAUCUGCUUUCAGAGCUAAUCACAGCUUUUCGUAAAAAUUGGUGUUUGUUUCAGUUUUUCAGCAAUAACUCCUAAACGCUUCAUCCGAGCUCGAUUUUGCACAUGUCCAUUUUGAAAGACAACAAAUUUUUCUAUAAAGUUAACUAACUAUAAUAAUAAAACCAUGAAAAAUUAAGAAGUUAUGGUGCUUCAAAAGCAGAUGGAACGCAUACAGUACUAUCGACUUAUCUAUUUGUAUAUAUUCAUCAAUAACUUAUGAACAGUUCAUUGCAGCUUGAUUUUGCAUAGGCAAUUUUUCAAAUAAAACUAAAUUUACUAUAGUAUCUUGUGAUUAAAUUGUACAAAAACCUUGUUAGUAAAAAGUUACAGAGCUUCAAGAACAGGAGAACCGCAUAAUUUUUAAAUCCUCUUUAGUAUUCUCUGUCUGUAUCUUCUGAACAGUUGAUAAGAGGUGAUUUACUAGUUAUCAGCUUGAAGAGAAAAAGAUUCUACAAAAUCAUGCGAUUAGAUUACCAAUGAGCUUAGAUGAUAAUAAGGGGUUAUGGAGCAUUAAAAUCGGGAAAAUCCAUGUGAACAUGUGUUCUUCUGUAGUAUUUCAUCAAUAACUUCUAAACGGUUGAUCAUAGCACAAAUUUUAAUGGGACAUUAUUCUUAGAGGAGAAAAUUAUCCUCAAUAACUUUUAAAUGCUAAAUCAUAGCGCAAUUUUGAAAAGGACAAUUUGUGAAUACAACUAAUUUUUCAAUAAGACGAUAUAAGAAAUUCAAUCAUAAGUUGAUUUUGUAAAUUGUAGUUGUUAUUUAAAAACUAAUAACGCUGUUGAUUUUAUUGUCAUAGAUGAUUUUAAAAUGUUCCCUGCAUUGUGCUGCCCAUAGGCGAUAGCGGCCAGUUUAUGAACUAUUGCCACUUCACAGCUGUGCUGUGAGAUGACAGAUGACAGAUAACCGUCGCCAUUUUGACUCUUGACUUGUUUGUCUUUGUACUAGACUAGACUGUUCACGUCCACAAACCAUAGAUAAUUAUUAAAUAAAUAUCAAAGUUUAAACUUUUUUUAUAUCUUCUAUCAAAAUUGCUCCAGCUCUAUCAACGGUAAAAAUUGUGUAAUCGUCGAAUAAUUGCAGAAUGUGUAGUCUUUUCAUCAAUAAAGAUUGGGUCAUAACAUAACCAUUCAAUCGGAAUAGUAACUUGAGAUUUUGUGCGACAAUACUCAUUGUAUUUGAAACGGAACAAGCUGAUUCAUCUCUUCAUGCAACAUACAAGUGUCCACAUCUAACAAUUCUGGUUUCAAAAGUUGAUCAAUGACUAAAAG
rnacentral:lncRNA from 1 species